AUUGGGACUGAGACACGGCCCAGACUCCUACGGGAGGCAGCAGUGGGGAAUAUUGCACAAUGGGGGAAACCCUGAUGCAGCGACGCCGCGUGGAGGAAGAAGGUCUUCGGAUUGUAAACUCCUGUUGUUGAGGAAGAUAAUGACGGUACUCAACAAGGAAGUGACGGCUAACUACGUGCCAGCAGCCGCGGUAAAACGUAGGUCACAAGCGUUGUCCGGAAUUACUGGGUGUAAAGGGAGCGCAGGCGGGAAGACAAGUUGGAAGUGAAAUCUAUGGGCUCAACCCAUAAACUGCUUUCAAAACUGUUUUUCUUGAGUAGUGCAGAGGUAGGCGGAAUUCCCGGUGUAGCGGUGGAAUGCGUAGAUAUCGGGAGGAACACCAGUGGCGAAGGCGGCCUACUGGGCACCAACUGACGCUGAGGCUCGAAAGUGUGGGUAGCAAACAGGAUUAGAUACCCUGGUAGUCCACACCGUAAACGAUGAUUACUAG
rnacentral:rRNA from 1 species